CUCCCCUCACCUGCGUUGGCAACCAAGAAAGCCUUGUGUUGGAGGUGGGGCCACAAGUUUAAAGCUAAGUUACCACCUCGAGGGCACAUUCCUGGAGAGCUUCCCAGGCCCACAGUGGCACGUGUAUGAGUGACAGGUCAGCUGAGAGAGGCCAACAUCUUCUAAACAAAAUUUGUCAAAGAACAUAAGGCAAGAAGACAUGCUCUUGGAAAAUACAAAUUAUGUAAUAGAACUCAAGUUUCAAGGUACAGUUUUCU
rnacentral:lncRNA from 1 species